GGUCAAGCAGGUGAAGGCAUACGGUGGAUGCCUUGGCAUCAAGGGCCGAAGAAGGGCGCGGCAAGGCUGCGAAAAGCCUCGGUGAGCUGUCUAGCAAGCUUAGCCGGGGGUUCCCGAAUGGGGCAACCCGCUCAGGUAAAACCUGAGCACCCCCAGCUGAACACAUAGGCUGGGAGGAGGUAAGCGGGGGAAGUGAAACAUCUCAGUACCCCGAGGAAAGGAAAUUAUUCCCUGAGUAGUGGCGAACGAAAGGGGAAUAGCCCAAACCAAGGUAGCUAAGUGGGCUUGGAUCCUAAGCUAUUUUGGUGUUGCAAGACACAAGGGGCAGAUUCCAAGGUCUGCCGCAGAGUUACAAAACUUUUUCUUAGUCGAAUGCUUCUGGAAAGAGCGACCGUAGAAGGUG
rnacentral:rRNA from 1 species